UUUUAUUAAAUCAAACUUAUAUAAGGAUCAAACAUUAUCUAAUUAAACUCAAUCAUAAGAAGUAAUUAAAGGUGGGAAAUGAGAUGAUGAAGGGAAAAGGUUAAAGAAGCUUGAGUAGGGAUUGCACUUUUAUUUUUCAAUUUAAGUUAGUAUUUGACCAUAAAUGUUUUACAAAUGUUAUUUAAUAGGAGUAUCUCAAAAUAAUUUUUUUUUCUAUUACUACAUUUGAAAAGACCAUUUAUAGCCUUAAUAGCUAAUCUUUAUAUUUAUCCAUUAAAGAUUGGUCAUUACUUCUGAUUCAAAUAUUAAUGUUGCAAUUGAUAUUUGUAAUAUUUUCCCAUAAUUACCUAUCUCAUUUACUCCCGUUGUGAUCAUUUUGAGUUUUUUCACACCUAUAUAUUCUUAUUGUAUUUUCUCUUUGGGGAGAAAAAGAGAAGAUAUUAACAUAUUAAUUCCUCAUAUAUUCUAGUAUGCUGAAUUUUCUUUUUCCUACUUGAUUUUUUGUUAGAUUUUAACUUUUGUAUAUGUAAGAAGAGCUUGUUGAAUACAAGGAUACAAUCAGAUGAAAUAUCUUUAAAGAUAGUAUCUUUUACAUGCCUCAAGUGUUGAGGAUAUUUAAAAAAAAAUUUAAAUUUGGACUCAAGAUCCAUCUUAUUAAUUAAAUAACUGGGCCAAACAUCAUUAAUAAAAGGUUCAACCUGAUCGGCCCAAAUUGGCAAAACCAAGUGGAUAAAGGCACUACCCUAAUACUAGGGUUUUCUAAAUGAGCUAUCCUUUUCUCCUUUCUUUCUCUUCCUCUCCUCUUUCUCAGCUCGCCUCUAUCCCAAUGUUUGUCAUUGUCCCCUUGCUCCGACUUGAUGUUCCUCCUUCUUUGGGUGAUAAACAUCCUUCAUGUUCGACUUAUGAUGGAUGCUAGAAAUAUCAUCUCUCAAAGGUGUGUUUUCUGGUUAGAAAGCCUGAGUUCGUGAAGAAAUUGAAAGAGAGUAUGUGCCUUUGUGCUUCCUCCAUGCAAAUCUGUGUGAAGCAAAAUAGAAAAAGAUCUUGUAGCUCCCUCGCUAUCUUUUUGCUGGAAGCUUGUUUUGAAAUCAGAUUUGGCCUCUAUACUCUUUUUUUUUUGCUGGUCCCUAUGUCCCUUUUUGCUGGUUGUCAUAGCUUAGAAAUAUGAUAGGUUCCUUAACAUCUUUUUUACUCCCAACAUAGCUAAUAUCUAACCUGUACAUAUCAUAGUUUUGGAACAAUGUGUCUUCUGAUCUGUAACUAAGCAUGAUGUCCAUUGUUGUUAGUGUUAAUUAUCCUUUUCUUGAUGUGAACUGAAGGGAUUUGUUGUUUAUCUAUGUUAAGAAUCCUUCUUCCCAAACUUGGUAACUGAAUGAAAUUCUGAAAUGUCUUUAUUUCUUCUUUAUUUAUUACUGAAUUUGCUAUGUAGUCUGCCAAUUGAUUUGCUUCUCUAAAAUUAUGUGAAACCUGUACUCUGAUUUUCCCCACCAUGUCAUGUAUUUCCUCUAUCAUUUCUGCUAACUCACAAGGUAUUUUCCAACUCCUAGUGAUCAUGUUUUUCAAUACUAUGGAAUCAGAUCCUAGAUGAACAUGAUUCAUAUUUUUCCUGAUGCAAAAUUGUAGAGCUUCCCAGACUUCUCUCACCUCUGCCUCCAUAUUUGUAGCUAUCUCCAUGUUCUUGGUCUCAACAUAAAUAAGAUCACCCCUUCUAUCCCAUGACAUAGUAUUUCCGUAAAAUUUCUAACAAAAUUUUUGGAGUAAGUUUUGAAAAUUCAUUUUCAAAUAUAUGUUUGAUCGUGAAAUUUGAUCAGAUUUUGAAAAUUUGUUCUUCAAAUAUUUUCAAGUUCCCAAAAAUUAGGUCAAAACAGUGUUAGAAUUUUUGAAACUUCCAUUCAUAAAACCUCAAUUUGAAAAACUCAAAUUUCAACUUUGAAAUCGAUGACUAAAUAAGAGUUAGGUACAUAAAUAAAGCACAACCCCCUCCGGCCCUCCCCCAACCACACACACAAACCAAAAUAUAAGUAUAAAAAUUUGAAGCCACAUUAUUUCAGUACGCAAGUAUAAAACUUUGUUAUUUUUCUUUUCAGCGGCCACCCCCGUUUUCCACCGUCCAACACGCCACCACAAGCCAAAGUUCUUAACCUAAGCUUCAUUUCAGCAAUGGGAACAUCAACUAUUAGGGACAUCUUGACUUGUUUCAGUCCCUCUUUGAACUUCUUUGCUAUCAGCUCCGGUGAUGGCCGUGUCAAGCCAUUGUUGGGAGAGAAUUCAACACACUUUGGGCUGAAAUUUCAGCUCUCUUUUGUGCUCAUGUUGGGCCCUCUCUUGGACUUCACAUGGUUAAUUCAUUUAAACGGCUGGUGCUGGUGGACUGGUUUGCAAAAUUGAUUCCAUGUCAGGGAACUUGCUGCACAAGUUUAAAGCUUCCACUAAUGCAAUAUCAUCUUUAUCCAUUUCAUCAGGUUUGUAUCUAUACAUGUUCAUUGUCUUCGAUGAUGGCUACAUUUUGAGAAUCUUGCAUUUAGUCAAUCUGGAUUAGUAACUGAACGAUUGACAUCUUUGACCCCUUCUGUAGUUUCUAUAAUGCAAAAUGGGUACUCUCGACAAUGAUACCAGAUCCUGUUUGCUAAGAGUUAGCAAUAUUUUUCUCAUGUCAUAUUUGAUCAGUAUGUGUUCUGAAUACAUGUCAUUGCUCCAUUUGUAUCCUCUUCACCCUCUACUUUCUGUUAGCGUUUCUGUAGUGGUUUUCUCCUUGUAGCAACCAAAAUUCUAUGCUUAAUUUGUUUCUGCUGAUUUUAUUGCAUUUUCACCUCUUUCAACACGACUAAUUUCUACCUGGUACUCCCACCCUAACUUAUUUCUCCGUAUUAUUAGUAUUACAAAAUCUGAAUAUUAAUGAUAUAGAUAAUACAAUUGAAUUUUAGGGAUUUGAAUAUUUAGUCAUCAUAGUUAGUUUGUUCUCUUCAUGUAUUUAUAUCCUUGUUCUUGUUGAGUAAUAUACAAAUUAUUCUCCAUACCUUAUGAGUGACAUGGUAUCAAAGCCAAGUUAAGGUUUCGUUUCUUUUCUUUUUUUCUCUGCUUUGGGUCACUCAUCCAUGAGUUACCAGUUUCCCUCACCUUCGGCAAAGGGCGAAGAUCUUUUAGACAAUUUUUUUCUUUUGUAGACUGGAUCAAUUGUUUCGCUAUCUUAUCCGGCAUCUGUGAAGAUCUACAAUUUUUUAAUUGCAACAUCAGUUUACUCUGAUCACUCUUCGUGUUGUUGUGUUGGAUCCACUGCUGCUCUAGUCCCUAUUUGUCUCUAUUGCUUCAAUAUUUGUUACCAAGGUCUGCUUUGAUUUUUUGUUUAUCUAUAUCUGGUUGGGUUUGCUGAUUUCAAUUGUUUUCCAGCUUUUGGAGUUGUUUAAUUUGGAAGCGCUCUGUGGGAUUGCUCUCUGUGAGGGCUUAUUUGGUUUGGAGUUGAUAUUACUAUAUUUUGUGGUUAAAUAACUAUUCAAGCCUUAUUUUUAAUUGAUGUUGUGGUGCUCUUGAUGUUUGUGAAUUCCAACCUCCUAAGGUAUGUUCCUGUAGGUGGAGGGAGCCCAAUGUAUCUUUGUGCAUGGUCCGUUUGAAAUUUUAUUAUUUUCAAUUGUCUUGGAUAAAAAUAGGUUCAAAUUAUUGAAUUCAUGUCUUCAAGAGUAACAGUAGCUUCACCCCCGGAAACACAAAAGUGUUAGU